AGUGAACGCUGGCGGCAGGCCUAACACAUGCAAGUCGAGCGGAUGAAGGGAGCUUGCUCCUGGAUUCAGCGGCGGACGGGUGGGUGAUGCCUAGGAAUAUGCCUGUUUGCGGUGGAUAACGUCCGGAAACGGGCGCUAAUACCGCAUACGUCCUGACGGAGAAAGGGGGGGAUCUUCGGACCUCACGCUAUCAGAUGAGCCUAGGUCGGAUUAGCUAGUUGGUGGGGUAAAGGGCUACCAAGGCGGCGAUCCGUAACUGGGUUGAGAGGAUGAUCAGUCAACAUGGGACUGGAGAACGGGCCCAGCUUCUACGGGAGGGCAGCGUGGGGAAUUAUGGGACAAGGGGCGAAAGCUGAUUCAGGCCAGCCGGGGGGGGUGAGGAAGUCUUCGGAGUGGUAAAGCCUUUUGUUGGGGAAGAAAAGCAGUAGGUUAAUACCUCGCUGUUUUGACGGUACCCAAAGAAUAAGCACCGGCUAACUUCGUG
rnacentral:rRNA from 1 species